UGUCGAGCAAGUUACAGCAUUGGCAUUCAUAUUAACCAAUUUCUCCAUGUCUUUAAAUUCUUCAAAUGGCUUCUUCCUGGACAUUACUUCCCAGCAAAUAAUACCAAAGGUAAACACGUCACUCUUUUCUGUAAAUUCGCCACUAGCAUUCUAUUAUCCAAUCAAGAUUCCCGUUGAAUGAAACUUCCAAGUUCUUGCGAUGCAGUAAAUCGUAGAGUGAUCCGCAAUCCGCAUAUUCAAACAGUAAGCAAAUGUUAUUCUUGGUGUUUAUAGAGACUCCAUAUAACGUUAUUAUAUUGGGAUGGAUACAUUUUUGUAGAUUCUGGAUUUCUCGCAAUUUGUCUCACUUCUAAUUCAGUUUUCCACGAUGCUUUGUGGACAACACCAUAGCUACCUCUUCCAAGCUUUAAAGAUUUGAAGCUGAAGUAAUUAUUUCAGAAUGGCAAUAUUCUCUUACCUCUUCUUCCGAUUGUAUUUCGUUGAAAUUUACAGUAACUAAAUCGUUCAUAAUUUGAUGUAUAACUUUAUGUUGAUAUAUUGAAAAUAUAUCAAAAAAAGAUGUUAUUAUUGGUGUUGAUAACUGGAAUUUUACCUAAGUUAAUAAGAAAUUUCUGUGGAUACUCAGCAAUGCUGUGAAUCUUAAUCAAU